AACGCACAUUGCGCCUCCUGGUAUUCCGGGAGGCAUGCCUGUUCGAGCGUCAUUAAAAACCACUCAAGCUCUUUUGCUUGGUCAUGGAAGAUGAGUGAGCUUGUCUCUCUCCCUUUCGAAAUUCAAAGGCGGAAAGCCCCAUGUGCACCGGCGUAGUAAGUUUUCUUUCGCUUUGGCCAUGAGGUGAUCCUGCCCCAAACCCCCAAUUUUUCUAGGUUGACCUCGGAUCAGGUAGGGAUACCCGCUGAACUUAA
rnacentral:misc_RNA from 1 species